rnacentral:tRNA from 2 species
GGAGGUGUGGCAGAGCGGGUUAAUGCACCGGCCUUGAAAUCCGGCGAAGGGGCGUCCCCCCUUCCGUGAGUUCGAAUCUCACCGCCUCCACCA